ACAGCCCAAGGUGGGUAAAGAGUGGCUGUUUCUUCCUCCCAACCAGACUGAAGAAUGCCAGGUCAGCACAGGACUGUGGGUCCUGGCCGUGGAGCAGAGUGGAAAGAGGUGUGGCGUCAGAGAAAGCUGGGUCCAGGGUCAGCUGCUUCUGAGCUGUUGUGCUGAGGUCAGUUCCUUAACCUCCCCAAGCCUCACUUUGAUAAUUCAUAACCACCGGGCUGCUGGGAGGGUAAAAGAGUUGGUGUGUAAAGCAUACAGCUGCUACAGAAGUCCUGCUUCAUUUUCUCUGGAGGAAAGCGGGAUGCAAAAUUAGGACCUUAGGUGUAAGUGAGCUCACCUGCAUGUGUUAUUACAAGACAUUGAGUAUAGUGAGCUCACACUCACGAGAAUAAACAAGCAGAAGCCGACACUAACAAGCAUGAUGGAGAAAAGCCAAGGAGCGAAGAGUAUGGGGUGAGGAGUGGGGCACCCGGGGAGGGGGGGGAACCAGGGAGGAAAGGGACUCUGUCCGUGAGAAGGCAUCACUGCAGCAUUCGGACGUCACAAAGUCAAGAAGGAGAGUUUAUGAAACACAGAGGAGGCUGGACUUAAUUUUGAAGGACAGGUGGGAAAAGGAUGCUAAAGGUUUCCCAGGGGAGGCAACUUUCUUCUUAAAAGAAGCCGGCCGUGACUGUGAUGAACUGAAAUUCUCCAUACUUUGUUGACGAAUCCUCAUAACAACCCUGCAAAGCAGGUGUUAUUAGCCUCAGUUUAUGGAAGAAAGAACCCAGGCCAGGGAGGCCACGUGCCUUGCCCAGGUCACAUGACUGGCAUGUGGCAGAGCAGGGGUUUGAACAAAGUCCGUCCAAGCUGAAGCCGUGCUCUCGGCGCACCUCACAGCCUCCCGGGGUUCCCUGAAGCUAUUUGAAAAUAAGAGUGUUCCUACGAAAAAAACCAGAUUCUGAUUCAGUAAGUCUAGGGUGGGACUGAGAUUCUGCAUUUCUAACAGGCUCCCAGGUAAGGAUGACACUGCACAGGUGGACACUUCAAGCAGAAGGCUCUGUGAGCCUCUCCAAGUAAACACUUUCUCACUGUCAUCCCCUUAGUCUCUCUUCUCUCCCGGCUCAUUUCCAGAUGCAGGGUGAUGGCAUUUCCUGACCUUUUCUGACAAGUGACCUGCGGCCCUCAGGGGAAGGAAAAAUGGGUCAAACUGUCAGAUCAGCCCCUGGAAGCUUCUCAAGGUGGCUGACAUGCAGCCCGGCUGUCAGAUGAGGGAAAUGUCCAGGCUCUUGACCUCCCAGGGGAGGCUCCAGGGAAGGCACGUGGAGGCCGGGGGGG